GGAAAGGUCCGCCGAAGGAUGAGCCCAUAUCCCAUUAGCUAGUUGGUGCGGUAAAAGCGUACCAAGGCGAAGAUGGGUAACUGGUCUGAGAGGAUGAUCAGUCACACUGGAACUGAGACACGGUCCAGACUCCUACGGGAGGCAGCAGUGGGGAAUAUUGCGCAAUGGGCGAAAGCCUGACGCAGCAACGCCGCGUGAGUGAAGAAGGCCUUUGGGUUGUAAAGCUCUUUCGGCCGGGAAGAAUGAUUGUACCGGAAGAUAAAGCACCGGCAAACUUCGUGCCAGAAGCCGCGGUAAUACGAAGGGUGCGAGCGUUGUUCGGAAUUACUGGGCGUAAAG
rnacentral:rRNA from 1 species